rnacentral:misc_RNA from 1 species
GGCAUUUUGGACCUGUAACCCAUCAAUAUGUCAAUUUAUGUCAUUGAUUGAGAAGCAAGGUAGCAAGUUAUGUUAAAACCUACAAAGUAACUAAAAGAGAAAAAGAGAAUGCCCAAAAAUCAGAUGAUCAUUUGCAAUGUGCAUUAAUUUAUUUAUGAACAUAAAAUCAUGACUGAGCCAAUAAGAUAAGGCUUUCCAUUUUUUAUUUCAUACAUCAAACUUCCAAAUGUACACAUCCAUUGACUCAACAUUUACAAUAAGGUACCUGUAGACAGGCAACAAUUACAGAAUGGAACAACGAUUAUAAGAUCAGCCACCCUAAAUACACAAAUAAUUGCAAACAAGAAAAUUUUCAGGGACAAAAAGCUUCUCCGUGGACAAAAUCAUCUUAAAUAGGAUAUUGCAAGUAACUUAUGUAAAGCAGAGUCUAAUGAUCCUUUUUCUAGAACUUAUGCGCAACGGCAUCAUAUAGUAAAAUAAUCAUGUAGUGCAAGGUCCCCUCGGUUAGCCACUUCACUUGUAAUUUUGUUUCUACUCUUAGCAACAAAAUAAGCAAUCAUCAACAACCACAAGAGAAAAUGUGGUCUUCCAAAAAAAAUAAUAGUUAAAAUACAAUUUACACAUAUUUGCAUAUUAUUUGGUUUUUUU